rnacentral:rRNA from 1 species
AUUGAACGCUGGCGGCAGGCCUAACACAUGCAAGUCGAGCGAGCGGCGGACGGGUGAGUAAUGUCUGGGCAACUUCCUGAUGGAGGGGGAUAAAUACUGGAAACGGUAGCUAAUACCGCAUACCAUCAGAUGUUCCCAGAUGGGAUUAGCUAGUAGGUGGGGUAACGGUUCACCUAGGCGACGAUCCCUAGCUGGUCUGAGAGGAUGACCAGCCACACUGGAACUGAGAAACGGUCCAGACUCCUACGGGAGGCAGCAGGGGGGAAUAUUGCACAAUGGGCGCAAGCCGGAUGCAGCCAUGCCGCGUGUAUGAAGAAGGCCUUAGGGUUGUAAAGUACUUUCAGCGGGGAGGCGUUACCCGCAGAAGAAGCACCGGCUAACUCCGUGCCAGCAGCCGCGGUAAUUC